AUGUACGAUUCAUCACCGUUCCGCCUCGAGGGGCGCCUCAAAACGGACGCCUUGAGUGGACAAAUGAUCAUAACAGCUUCCAUGUAUGUUGAAAAGUGAAGAGUUAUAUUUGUAAUUUACCCGAUCCUUAUAUGGCAUUAUCAGAAGGCGGGACUUGCUGUCCAGAACUGUUUGAAUGGGCUCGCCUAUAGUGAAUUUUUUUGCCCGGUCUUCUAGUGCCUCUUGAGUAUGAAUAUUUUCAAUUAGAUGGGGAAAAUUUGGACGCGGCUCUAGACGAUAUAUCAACCAUACACCUAUUGUAGGGCUGCUGAUAUGAAUGGCUGCUCACUUUUCAUGAUAAUAUAUGUUUGUGUACUUUAUUUAGUUAGGUGAUUUUCAUAUUAGUACGGUUGACCAUUGUAGAUAAUAAUUUGUAAUGUGAUAUGGCUAUUUAAUAUAAAUUUAUUCAUGACAUUGUAGUUUCACUAAAUUUUGGUAUAAUAAUUGUUCCUGUUGU
rnacentral:lncRNA from 1 species